AACAAAGGUUUUCUCAUUCCCACUUCAGACCCUCUCUAGAACUCUCUAACACUUCCCAGAUGUGAAAACCAUUUCCUCCCCACGGUGGACCAGAGCCAGACCAAGGCUGAGCGGGGCCUGUCUCUCCCACGUCAACAGUCCACAGUCCGGAGUCCUUGGUGGAGGUCUAAAGAAGCAGAGAAAAGAGAAUCUUGCAGCCAGUCGAGGCCGGGCUGAGAUGGUAGUGCUACCAAGUGCAAGUAUGCCUAACAACCUGAGUUUGACCAAUGCAACCCAUGAGAGAAAG
rnacentral:lncRNA from 1 species